rnacentral:rRNA from 1 species
GAGUUUGAUCCUGGCUCAGGACGAACGCUGGCGGCGUGCCUAACACAUGCAAGUCGAACGGAGAUUUCAGUAAUGUUAUCUUAGUGGCGAACGGGUGAGUAACGCGUAGACAACCUGCCUUCUAGAUGGGGACAACACUGGGAAACUAGUGCUAAUACCGAAUGUUGUAUUUUGAGUGCAUACUUGAAAUACUAAAGGUGGCCUCUAUUCAUAAGCUACCACUAGAAGAUGGGUCUGCGUCUGAUUAGCUAGUUGGUGAGGUAAUGGCUCACCAAGGCGACGAUCAGUAGCCGGUCUGAGAGGAUGAACGGCCACAUUGGGACUGAGACAC